CCCAUCACUUCUCUUCCAAGCGAAUAAAUCUUUUGCUUUUUACUAAAGAUUUCCACGGAGAGGAGUAAUGGAGAGAUGGAAGGCAAUUUUUGUGGGCCCCUUGGUAGUGGAG